GGCUUUAUAUUCAAUUAUGAUUUUAGACUGCAAUUCUAAAGGUGUUGUUAAUAUUACUAAGGCCU
rnacentral:tRNA from 1 species